GGUCUUGUAACGUACAUCAAGAAAUGAGAAGGAGAUUUUGUUACCUCGUUUGCGCUUUGCAUCGAAUUGUUGUCGCCGAACUUCCUUUCUUUACCAUUGUUGCGGUUGUAUUCCCUUCUCUUUACUUCUCUUCUUUCUUCUUUUUUUUUUUUUGGAAUUUUUCCUCCGCUCUUGGUGGGGCUACGGGAGUUCGGCUCCCGUGAGCGAAGUCGGGGCGAAGUUCGGCUCCCACGAGAGUUCGGACGAAGUUUACCUGC
rnacentral:lncRNA from 1 species